AUGACGCGGAACCCAGUUUUUGUCAUGUCCAACUCACCAGCCACCGAGGCACUGCAGAAGAUGGUCGAAGGCAAAUUUUGGCAUCUUCCUGUAGUGGAGCAUGGUGAGGUCAUUGCAAUGUUGGACAUUACCAAGUUCCUCUGCGAUGCAAUUUCAAGAAUGGAAAAGGCAGCAGAGCAAGGCAGUGCUAUAGCUGCUGCUAUGGAAGGGGUCGAACGGCAGUGGGGAAAUGAAUUUGCAGGUCCGCACACGUUAAUAGAAAAUCUUCGAGACCACAUGUUCAAGCCUUCCUUGUCAACUAUCAUAACUGAAAAUAGCAGUGUUCCAUCGGUGUCUCCAUCGGAUCUGGUAAUUGUAGCUGCCAAAAAGAUGAGAGAGUACCGAGUUAACUCAGUGGUUGUCAUGACAGGGAACAUGCUGCAAGGCAUUCUCACUUCCAAGGAUUUGGUUUUGCGAGUAGUGGCACAAAAUCUGUCCCCAGAGGUGACUCUCGUAGAAAAGGUCAUGACUGCAAGUCCUGAUUGUGCUACAUUGGACACAUCAAUCCUCGAGGCUCUACAAUCAAUGCAAGAUAGAAAAUAUCGUCAUAUUCUUGUUGCGGGCAAAAAAUUUCUGAUAAAGUUCCUCCUUUCUGCAGUUUCAGAAAGCUUAGACGAGCUUGUGUCUGCUAUUGCAUACAAAUUAGGAACAGAAAACGAGAAGGGGAAUGUAAACCUUCUGUACGAUGAUGAUGAAGGUGACAGAGUUCUUCUGGCUACCGAUGGUGAUCUCGUUGCAGCGAUUGAGCAUGCCAGAUCAGCCGGUUGGAAGGAACGUGUGGUCAAAUAUGGCGUGGAAUUGAGUGACGUAAUUCCACAUUAUUGCGAAAGGUCAAGAACCUCCUGGAAGGUUCUCACAACUAGAUCAGUUGAUCGCCUUAACGGGGCGACCAAGCUAGAUCACUCGCUCGCUGCGGGCAUCGACAUUACGACGAAAUGA
rnacentral:rRNA from 1 species